rnacentral:rRNA from 1 species
CGCCUCUUGACAAACUAUAAGAGGUCCAGCCUGCCCAGUGACUUAGUUCAACGGCCGCGGUAUCCUAACCGUGCGAAGGUAGCGUAAUCACUUGUUCUUUAAAUGAGGACUAGUAUGAAUGGCACCACGAGGGUUAUACUGUCUCCUUUUUUUGAUCAGUGAAACUAAUCCCCCCGUGAAGAAGCGGGGAUUUAUAUAUAAGACGAGAAGACCCUAUGGAGCUUUAAAUAAAAUGACAAUUGUUUCACCUAUUCUACUUCCAGAAGAAUUAUAAAAAGCAUAACACUAUGAUUACAAAUUUUAGACUGGGGUGAUCACGGAGUAAAAACCAACCUCCAUGCUGAAAGGUAUAAAUCCCUGAGCAAAAACCUACAACUUAAUGCACUAAAAAAUUAACACAAAUUGACCCAAUAUUUUGAUCAACGAACCAAGUUACCCUAGGGAUAACAGCGCAAUCCACUUUAAGAGCCCCUAUCGACAAGUGGGUUUACGACCUCGAUGUUGGAUCAGGGUACCCAAGUGGUGCAGCCGCUACUAACGGUUCGUUUGUUCAACGAUUAAAACCCU